UGACUCCUCAUGCUUGGACUUUAGGGAGCCCGCUGGCCAAUGGUGCGUCGACACGACGGCGCGCGUUGCCCUCCGAGGUACUCCUAAAAUGCGGCGAAACGCCGAGGCGAGGCCUCCCUCUCUCCAGUCAGAGGCAGCGGCCGGGAGCCAGCCAAAUGGCGACGCGCGCCGGCCACUCCGUUCGUCCUACCUGCGCGCACACCGCAUGCCUCCAGACGUCGCCAGCCCAGUGAGCCGACGUGCGUGCAAGGCCGGCAAGGCAUGGCCGCGAGCGCACCCCGCUGCCGGCGCCGGCGGUGACCGACACUAGUUAGAGGCCGGCAGGAUGGGGCGUACGUGGGCGCCUGAACCUUCAUCUGCGAUGCACGCAGGCAGCUAGCUUGCAAUACAAACCGGCAUACUAAUGCUACGGAAUAAGUUGGACAGUUCUCAGAAAAAUGGAAAAGGAACCCACUUGCCACUGGCCUACUAAAACAAAAUUCCUCACAAGGAUUUCAUUAUCGUUGGCACAAGGAAACUCCCGAGUUUCACAUAUUGCAACAGUUUCAAGUGCAAUGCUGUCGGAAUGAAGACACCAAUUCUAGAGACGAGUAAAGCCACAAUUAUAUGUACCAUUGAGAUGAUGGAUUUUGAUGAUUUUGGGCAUGUUUGUGGUGGUUAGGCAUGUUAAAUUCAUUGAAGUGACAUAGUAGAAAGGACUGAAUGCUAAACAACCUUCAUCUUUAUUUGUGAGGAAUAACUAAAUGUUUAGUUAGUCACGUUUCAGACGACUCAAAGUAAUGUUAGUGUUUUUCUAGACGACUCAAAGUAUACUGUGUAAAGGGAUCAUGAAUAUUUGCGAAUGAACAUUCAGUUUUAGGGUA